AUGAACCGUUAUAACCGGCGAUUUCCGAAUGGGGAAACCCAGUGUGUUUCGACACACUAUCAUUAACUGAAUCCAUAGGUUAAUGAGGCGAACCGGGGGAACUGAAACAUCUAAGUACCCCGAGGAAAAGAAAUCAACCGAGAUUCCCCCAGUAGCGGCGAGCGAACGGGGAGCAGCCCAGAGCCUGAAUCAGUAUGUGUGUUAGUGGAAGCGUCUGGAAAGGCGCGCGAUACAGGGUGACAGCCCCGUACACAAAAAUGCACAUGCUGUGAGCUCGAUGAGUAGGGCGGGACACGUGGUAUCCUGUCUGAAUAUGGGGGGACCAUCCUCCAAGGCUAAAUACUCCUGACUGACCGAUAGUGAACCAGUACCGUGAGGGAAAGGCGAAAAGAACCCCGGCGAGGGGAGUGAAAAAGAACCUGAAACCGUGUACGUACAAGCAGUGGGAGCACGCUUAGGCGUGUGACUGCGUACCUUUUGUAUAAUGGGUCAGCGACUUAUAUUCUGUAGCAAGGUUAACCGAAUAGGGGAGCCGAAGGGAAACCGAGUCUUAACUGGGCGUUAAGUUGCAGGGUAUAGACCCGAAACCCGGUGAUCUAGCCAUGGGCAGGUUGAAGGUUGGGUAACACUAACUGGAGGACCGAACCGACUAAUGUUGAAAAAUUAGCGGAUGACUUGUGGCUGGGGGUGAAAGGCCAAUCAAACCGGGAGAUAGCUGGUUCUCCCCGAAAGCUAUUUAGGUAGCGCCUCGUGAAUUCAUCUCCGGGGGUAGAGCACUGUUUCGGCAAGGGGGUCAUCCCGACUUACCAACCCGAUGCAAACUGCGAAUACCGGAGAAUGUUAUCACGGGAGACACACGGCGGGUGCUAACGUCCGUCGUGAAGAGGGAAACAACCCAGACCGCCAGCUAAGGUCCCAAAGUCAUGGUUAAGUGGGAAACGAUGUGGGAAGGCCCAGACAGCCAGGAUGUUGGCUUAGAAGCAGCCAUCAUUUAAAGAAAGCGUAAUAGCUCACUGGUCGAGUCGGCCUGCGCGGAAGAUGUAACGGGGCUAAACCAUGCAC
rnacentral:rRNA from 1 species